CAGUAGUAUAAAUGAAUCCAACGAAAUACAUAAAAUCAGCGCAGUUGAUGUAAUUUUAAAUUUAUUUAACUGACCAGCAGCGUGGCAUGCAAAUACAGUAGCAAGGCUGAAAGCGAUAACAACGGUAGCACUCAUAAUGCAUCCUGUCAGAAAUUGAAAACCAAGAACGAUACUGUGCUCUAGAUUAGUAUCAACCGGAAUUUUGUAGGUUGGAAAAGGUAAGACAUGUAUUUCCAUACUUUCGUUGCCGAUUUUGAUUUUCUGUUUGAAAACUCCAAAUACGAUGC